GCAUAUCAAUAAGCGGAGGAAAAGAAAAUAACAAUGAUUCCCUUAGUAACGGCGAGUGAAGGGGGAAAAGCUCAAAUUUUAAAUCGGCGUAGGUUUACCUAGUCGAGUUGUAAUUUGAAGAAGCGUUUUCCACAUCUGGGUCGGCCCAAAUCCUUUGGGAUAAGGUAUCAUGGAGGGUGAGAAUCCCGUCCGGUUAACCUCAGGAUGUUUUACGAUACGCUCUCUAAGAGUCGAGUUGUUUGGGAUUGCAGCUCAAAAUGGGAGGUAAAUUUCUCCUAAGGCUAAAUACAGGCGAGAGACCGAUAGCGAACAAGUACCGUGAGGGAAAGAUGAAAAGAACUUUGAAAAGAGAGUUAAACAGUACGUGAAAUUGUUGAAAGGGAAACGAUUGAAGCCAGUCGUACCGACGGGAAAUCAACUUCUUGAGCGCUUCGCGAUCGCGGCCUUCGUUGCUUUGCGUUAUGGUGCUUUUGGGGUGUACUUUUCCGUAUGGUAGGUCAACAUCGAUUUUGAUCGUCAUAAAAUGAUCGGAGGAAUGUGGCUUCGGUCUCGUAUCGGAGUGUUAUAGCCUUUGGUAGAUGUGACGAUUGGGAUCGAGGAUUGCAACGAAUACCUUUUGAGCUAUCCGUCUGACCUCUGAAAGUCGCUCGGGUGUUGAAAGCGUGCUUAUGACAUUCUAAUUGGCAGUCAAAAGGUUAGAACGCGAUUACAUUCGUUAAGGAUGUUGACGUAAUGGCUUUAAACGAC
rnacentral:rRNA from 1 species